rnacentral:lncRNA from 1 species
GAAAACAGUUUUAAAAAUCUAAAAUACUCUACUGGUAUUGUUGCAAACGAUAUUUGGGAGUAAAAUCUGAAGCACUUCAUUUCAUUGCUCAACUCUGUCCAGCAACAACUCUUUCUCAUCAUCCAAUACCUGGUUAGAUUGUUGGUGUGAUGUAGCCUAAUAGUUGUCUAUAUAGUUGGUGUAGUUCUUAGCCCAUUGAUGUUAAAGCUUUCUUAGAAAUAAUAAGCAAAACUAUUUGUGAAAAGUCCUUAGAGAAACCUAUAAGCUUAUGAGUACUAGAAAGAUGAAAAGUCCUUAGAGAAACUUAUAAGCUUAUGGUUGUAGUCAUAUUCUCAUCCAUAAAGAAAACUUAUAAGCUUAUGAGUACUAGAAAGAUGUAAGGCACUUGUAUGCUUAUGCAUGUAUUCUUCUUCUACUUCUUGAUGUCUUUUGUAUAGUAUUUUAAAUAUGAUUGUUGCUUCAUCACAUUUAUUAUAAUAUG